AAAAAAAAAAAAAAUAAUAAUAAAUCAAGACAAAUCUAAUAUUUUAAUAUUUCCGUUGCGUCUAAUAAUAAUUGCCUAAUAUUUUAGUGUACAGGUAUAAUAUUAUAUUAAAUUGAAACGUUGAAUUCAAUAGUCAGUUAAAAGAAAUGGCUCGAGUAAAAGACUACUGAUUUACUAGGAGAGACAAAAAAAAAACCUUCAAUAUCAAAAUAAAUGUUUAAAGAUUUUAGGACUGUCUUAUGAUUUAUGUCCUUUUGCCUUUCGUAUUGAUAGUAUGCAAUAGUAUAUAAAAAACAAUUAUUCAAAUGUAAGAUUAUAAACGAGUAUAUUUUACCAAACGCACUUCAUAAAUUAAUAUAAACCGAAAACGAUCAACACUACAAUAAAUUAUCAUUUACAAGCCUUUU